GUGAGGAAUCUUCCACAAUGGGCGAAAGCCUGAUGGAGCAACGCCGCGUGAAGGAUGAAGGUCUUCGGAUUGUAAACUUCUUUUAUGAGUGAAGAAUAUGACGGUAACUCAUGAAUAAGCACCGGCUACUACGUGCCAGCAGCCGCGGUCAUACGUAGGGUGCAAGCAUUAUCCGGAGUGACUGGGCGUAAAGAGUUGCGUAGGCGGUUAUGUAAGCGAAUAGUGAAACCUGGUGGCUCAACCACACAGACUAUUAUUCGAACUGCAUAACUCGAGAAUGGUAGAGGUAACUGUAAUUUCUUGUGUAGGAGUGAAAUCCGUAUAUAUAAGAAGGAACACCAAUGGCGUAGGCAGGUUACUGGGCCAUUUCUGACGCUAAGGCACGAAAGCGUGGGGAGCGAACCGGAUUAGAUACCCGAGUAGUCC
rnacentral:rRNA from 1 species